GUGCCAGCAGCCGCGGUAAUACGAAGGGGGCUAGCGUUGCUCGGAAUUACUGGGCGUAAAGGGAGCGUAGGCGGGUUAUCAAGUUGGGGGUGAAAGCCCGGGGCUCAACCUCGGAAUUGCCUUCAAAACUGAUAACCUGGAGUAUGGAAGAGGUAAGUGGAACUCCGAGUGUAGAGGUGAAAUUCGUAGAUAUUCGGAAGAACACCAGUGGCGAAGGCGACUUACUGGUCCAUUACUGACGCUGAGGCUCGAAAGCGUGGGGAGCAAACAGGAUUAGAUACCCUGGUAGUCC
rnacentral:rRNA from 1 species